rnacentral:lncRNA from 1 species
AUAGAUGAGCCCUUAUGUUUUCUGUCAAGGAACAUUACCCAGAUUUGUCAUACCUCAGGGUUUGGUCUCGCCCUGGGUUCCAUCACUUAUGAGGGAUUGCCCCCAUAAGCAUAUAUGUGUCUUUGGUUCAUGCCCAACAAUUCCAUCACUUGUAGAGGAUUGGCUUACAAGCCCGUGUCUUGGGUUAAUGCCUAGCCAUUCAUGAAACAUUAGGGGGUUUUCCCCAUCAAGCAAUGUCUUAGGGGGUUUCCCUAGAUAUCACUUAUGGGAGAGUACGUGCCCUAUAAGCCAGUAUUUGGGAAUGGAGUCCCAGCCUCACCUUAACAUUCAUGGGUGAUAUCAGUGCAUGAAAGCUUGGUACGU